rnacentral:lncRNA from 1 species
UUCCUGUGUCAAUGACCUUAGCUAUGAGAAGAAAAAAUAUGCUUUGAAAAUUGAUUCUAAUUAACUCCAAUAAUUCCUAAUAGUUAGAUUCAACUAAAACAUUCAAUAAUCAAUAAACCUAUUGUUUCUUCUUCAAUAAUCAACCUUAACAAAAUCCGACAGUAAAAUUGUUCAAGUUUCUUAAACCAAACUUCGAUUUAAACCAACCAAAGAUAAGCAUUGGAUCUUCAAAUUAAGUUGACAGUAACAGAUACAAUGCAGACAAAUUAAGAGAAAAUUCCUUACCUAAAUCAAGCUCUUCAAGGGGCGAAAAUUGGCAGUAGCUUCCUUGGAGGAGCGAGAAUCCGUCUCCUUCACUUGGAUUCCUCAAGUUUAGAGGUAUUCUAUGAACUUUAAUUGGAUAAAAAGAGAUUGGAUUACUUCAGUAUGACAAUUUAUAAUAAUGUUUAGAGAAGGGUUUUGCUAAUUGAAGAAAGAGAGAGAAGCUCCGCCUAAUCCGGCGGAAGAACAGUCAACUUACCGAAGUGGAGCGACUGGUAGCGGAGUGGUGGAGUGGUUGAGAGCAGCGUUAGGCGUGAGAGAGAGAGAGAGAGAGAG